rnacentral:rRNA from 1 species
GGGAAAGUUGAAAAGAACUUUGAAGAGAGAGUUCAAUAGUACGUGAAACCGUUCAGGGGUAAACCUGAGAAACCCAAAAGAUCGAAUGGGGAGAUUCAUCGUCAGCCGCUUUGGCUUCCGUGUGAACGCGAUGAUCGGGGCUUCGGCUCUGCGUCACGCGUUUGCUGCGGCAUGUCUGGAGUGGUCGGCGUGCACUUCUCCCCUAGUAGGACGUCGCGAUUCGUUGGGUGUCGGUUUACGGACCGGUAGGUCGCCUGGCGUAUCUCGUUCACGCGAGUUUGUGUCAGACCUCUGGAUUCCCAACCGGCUGCCCGGCGGUAUAAAACGAUAAUUAAACGGUAUUGGGCCGCAUUGAAUGCGUUCAGGCUCGUAGGCAGGCUUGUCUCGCUCGGAUUUACGGACCUAGUGCCGUUGCCGGGUGCUUGGCGAACUGUGGCUUGCGAUGUCCUCGGACUGGCUCUUGAAUAUUCUUACGAAUAUACCGAUCGGCGACGCUACUGCUUUGGGUACUUUCAGGACCCGUCUUGAAACACGGACCAAGGAGUCUAACAUGUGCGCGAGUCAUUGGGUCAAUUAAAGCCUAAAGGCGCAAUGAAAGUAAAGGUCGUCCUUUGCGUCGACCGAGGGAGGAUGGCUCGCGUCACGAUGCGAGCCCGCACUCCCGGGGCAUCUCGUGUUCAUUGCGAACAGAGGUGCACCCAGAGCGCACACGUUGGGACCCG